rnacentral:rRNA from 1 species
UAGGGAAUAUUAGAGAUGGACGAAAGUCUGAUCUAGCAACACCGCGUGUGCGAAGAAGGCCUUCGGGUCGUAAAGCACUUUUUGGAAGGAAUAGGAAGGAAUGUACUUCCAGAAUAAGUCUCGGCUAACUACGUGCCAGCAGCCGCGGUAACACGCAGGAGGCAAACGUUAUCCGGAUUUACUGGGCGUAAAGCGCGUGUAGGUGGUUCUGUAAGUAGGGCGUGAAAGCUCCUGGCUCAACUGGGAGAGGCCGUUCUAAACUGCAGAGCUAGAGGAUGGUAGAUGGAGGUGGAAUUCCCGGUGUAGCGGUGGAAUGCGCAGAUAUCCGGAGGAACACCAGUGGCGGAAGCGGCCUCCUGGACCAUUCCUGACACUAAGACGCGAAAGCUAGGGUAGCAAACG